rnacentral:rRNA from 1 species
AGAGUUUGAUCCUGGCUCAGAACGAACGCUGGCGGCAUGCCUUAUACAUGCAAGUCGAACGAGAAAGUCACUUCGGUGGCGAGUACAGUGGCGCACGGGUGAGUAACGCGUAGAUGAUCUACCCUUCAGUCUGGGACAACUCUUGGAAACGGGAGCUAAUACCGGAUAAAACCUUCGGGUUGAAAGAUUUAUCGCUGGGGGAUGAGUCUGCGUACCAUUAGCUUGUUGGUGGGGUAACGGCCUACCAAGGCGACGAUGGUUAGCGGGUCUGAGAGGACGAUCCGCCACACUGGAACUGAGACACGGUCCAGACUCCUACGGGAGGCAGCAGUAGGGAAUAUUGCGCAAUGGGGGCAACCCUGACGCAGCAAUGCCGCGUGAGUGAAGAAGGCCUUCGGGUCGUAAAGCUCUUUUAUGGGGGAAGAUGAUGACGGUACCCCAUGAAUAAGCACCGGCUAACUACGUGCCAGCAGCCGCGGUAAUACGUAGGGUGCGAGCGUUGUUCGGAAUUACUGGGCGUAAAGGGCGUGCAGGCGGAUUGGCAAGCCGGAGGUGAAAGCCCGGGGCUCAACCCCGGAGGGUCUUUCGGAACUGCCAGUCUUGAGAGGGUCAGGGGCCAGCGGAAUUCCUGGUGUAGAGGUGAAAUUCGUAGAGAUCAGGAGGAACACCGGCGGCGAAAGCGGCUGGCUGGGGCCACUCUGACGCUGAGGCGCGAAAGCGUGGGGAGCAAACAGGAUUAGAUACCCUGGUAGUCCACGCCGUAAACGAU